UGGAAGGCGAGGUCUCGUACCAACAAGUUUCCUCGACCCCAGCAUUGGAUUGCCAAAACCAUUGAGACAGAAAGCUACAAUGUCAGUGAGUUCACCUCCAGGACAUCAUGAGAUUCUCAAGAUUUCUAGCUCCUCAGAAAACUUCCACAAACAAAAACUAAACAACAGGCGACUGAUGAUGAGAAGAGUAUGAAUGUGAAAUGAAGUUUAAAAGAAUGCUGUUAUUAUCUGGAAGAUUUAAAUGUGCACUGCUAUUUGCCAAAUAGUCUCAUCUGGUAAAUCUUCUAUGAAUUACUGCAGCCUGUAUGUGCAGGCUAGGAGUCUCUGCUGAAUGAAGUUUCUUCUCCACUUCCAUUCGGUGCUAAGUCCCAACAAAGCCACAGCCUUGUACUAAUCUUUGCCUUUACUUUAUUGCCAGGUAUAUGUAUUUAAUUUUCAUACUACCUCCCCAUUGUUCCUGUUUUGUAUUCCUGGCCAAAAUCCUGGAUCUUUGCAUUUGGCCUUUUCUGUCAAAUGUCCUUGUGCACCUUUCAUCUUUUUUAGUAAAAAAAAUUCUUACUUAAAAACAUAACUAAUAAUUAAAUGGAACAAAUCUGCAUUAUAGCUCUUAACAAAAAAAGUAUUGCAGUGCUGUUGUUCUGCUUCUGAAAACAGAUGAAUAACAGCACCUUUAUUUUGCUAGAAAUAACAAAACUCAGCAAACAACUUUCCUUAUUCACUCAUUUUGAAAUAAAAUAUGUUUUCAAAUUUGGUUUUUCUUUGUGAAUAUUACAUAAUUAAACACAUACAGGUUGAUGAUCAAUGCCUUGGAUAAAUAAUGAACUCAAGGGCCUCCUAUUGAAUUAAUUUACACAACUUGUUCCAUUGUGAUGAAUACAACCUCUGUUUUUGUGUGCUGUAUGCAACAAAUCUGUGCAUACGUGAAGGAUACGUGUAGCGUGAAGCUCUCCUGGCGGCAUUUGUGUGUAAUUUGGUCAAGGGAUCUUUUUUAAAAGAGAGUUUUUUUUUAAAGCACAGUUAUCACUAAGCAAAUGUGUUUAACAUUUCGCUUAUUUUGAAGUAUAUCUCAGGACUUUAUUCAGGAGGCAAUAGUGCUUACUCACUGUUUGUUCUAUAUUUGUAUAUUAUGUGUACAGUAUAAGACAACUUGUUUGCACUUUUCAUUGUCUAUUGCACCUGAAUAAGAAACAAGUACUUUUGAAUUUAUUUUUUUAAAAGAAAUAAAACUGCACUAACAGCUUAAGAGAUAUUUUUAAAAAGUGAAAUUUCUCUUCCUAAAGUUGUUCUUGCAAGAAAAUCCCUUCUAAAACCAUUGAUAAUUAGUCAUUUAAAAAAGGUAAUUCAUUGGUUGCUGCUGUAGUUAUCAAUCCUGGUAUUUGGCUGAAAUAAAAGCUCUCCAGCAAUGACAGCUCUUCCUGUGGUGUGAAUCACUUACCUAAAAUACUAUUUAAUAGGUUUGUGGAUUCUCUGAUACAGCCACAGUAAAACGUGUGAAUUAUUAGACUUUGGAAAUUUUUGAUAUUAAGUAUCAUCCCAAGUUCCCUUAGUUUACUUAGGCUCCAAGAUGGUAAUUGCUAACUGUAUUGAAACAUUAACAGACUUAUAAUAGUUUAUACCAGACUUUACCAAAACCAACAGAAUCAACAUAAUUGAAAUAUGAUUAACGUCAAUGCAAAGUUAUACUCUGUCCUAUUUAAUCACUAGUGAAAUAGAUGGAAACAAUUUAAUUUAACAAUAAGUUUUGCUAGUAAUGUUGAACUUUUACUGACUGGCAAAGAAUGUGGAUAAUCCAAAAUCAGUAAUUUAUUUUUUUGCAUGAGACAUAGUGAUUCUGCUCAAAUGAGGAAAUGGGGCAAAUGAAGGUGUCACUUUGCAAUCCCGUUCCUCCAAACUCUUGUAAUGUUUGUUAAUAGAAAACUUCAGUGCAUGAGUUGUUGAUAUUGUACUGUGGCCUUGUGACAAACAGCAAAUCUAAACUUUAAUCCAUUUAUGUUAAACCAGCAGAUGUGGAACAAACUCCACAUCUCUACUUCUUUCUUUUCCAGUAUGGCGAAAAAGGACACGUGAUUAUACGUGUGUGUACACACGCACAACACAGCAAACCGAUUUUCAUUGUGUUUUUACAUAUUGUGAAUCCUUCAGUGCCUUACAGAGGCAGAGAGGAAUUAAUAUUUUGGUUUCUGCACAAGUCAAAAAAGUUUGGAUUUUGUCUGUCCAAGCCAAAUUCUCUUACAAGACUGUGUUAUGGUCUCUUCAUAUGACUUGACUUUGAGAUUUUUUUUCCUUUGUACACAAGGGCCUUGCAAAACAAAUGGAAUAGAGUUUAGAUGUGUAUUUUAUUAAAAAUAGAUGCAUAAGAAAAAUGUCAGAUUUCUAAUGUACAGAUUAUUGAAUUCAUGUAUUGUAGUCACCACUGUUUCUUAAAUGGUUGUACAUCACACAUUUCUAAAAUGUUUAUUAAAUAACACUAAAAUUACUUAAUCCUGUUGAUUUACUUGUUAAUAAAAUUGUAAGGUUAUUUUUGUAAGCUGGUAAUAUGUAAAUGAUUUGUAUACAUUUGUAUAUUGUAUAAUGUAUGCAUUUUGUAUUAAAAUGAGAAUAAAAAGUU